rnacentral:rRNA from 1 species
GUGGAAGCGUAGCGAUACGUGGAGCUGACGAAUACUAAUCGAUCGAAGACUUAAUCAA